rnacentral:lncRNA from 1 species
UAGGCUAGCAAGUGUCCUUAUUAUCGUUCCCAUACAGGCUAUACUCUGACCCUUUUAAAGGCUAACAUUUCACUGCCUCCUAGCCUCGGGUGUUUGUGCAAAAUGUAAUAUGGCAGCUUUCCGAACUUAACGCUGCACAUAAACACAAUACCACAUGCACAUAAGCAAGAGGAUCGUAAAAGCUGGAGAAAAGCAACAGUCUGCCGGGCACUAGAAUUGCUGGAAGAACAAUUUUCUGAGCACAGUUCCACUCAGUCACUUCAGUUUAAGCCUAAGGUUGGUCUGGCUCUGCUUUCUGGAGGAGAAUCCCAGUCUCUGCAGGCUUCCUAAAAAGUCUGAAAAGGUAAACUUCUCAAUGCAGGUUGGCGCUUGAACCUAGGAGCAAAUACUGUGACCUUACAAGCAAGGGUGGAAAGGCACUGGAACAGGUUGCCCAGAAAGGUGGUGGAAGCCCUAUCCCUGAAGACAUUCAAGGUCAGGCUAGACCAGGCUCUGAGCAGCCUUAUCUAGCUCUAGGUGUCCUGGUUCAUUGCAGGGGAGUUGGACUAGAUGGCCUUUAAGUGUCCCUUACAGCACAACAAAUUCUAUGAUUCUAUGACCUAACAGUGAAGUGGGAAGCUCAAGGACCUUGCUGUGUUAGAGGGAGAGUGUGACAUGCUGUGCAUCCCAAGCAAAGGAGAAGCUCAGAAGAGAUCCAUGAACAUUUGAAGUGAGGGAGGAACCUCCAAACACAUCAGUGCACCAGUGACAGAAUAUACAAGUUUGCUACAUUUGAAAUUCAUGUUUCAGCUGAAAAAGUACAUGUGGGGAACAUCUUAAGAAAUAGAGCCUUAUUCUGUAGGUUUUGAUGUUCCUUAUGCAAGGAUUCUAACUGCAGCAUGCUCCCCACUGUAGGAUGCACAGACAGAAGGUGAAAUAUGACAGGAACGAUGCCUACAUCUUCACCCUCAGAAAGAGAUGCUCUCACUUCAGCCUGGUGCAGCAGUAGAUGGAGGAUGAGAGCGAAUCCCAUCUCUGGAUACUCCAGGGCCAUCAAUGCCUGUGGCAGAUUCAGAAUGUUUCUGGGCAGCAUGGCCCUGGCUUCCAAGAAAAAAUUAUUAAAAGAAAAUUCAUAAUUCUGCAUUUAACCAUGUUAUGAUGAUGAUUAUUUUUUUUUUUAACCACAGUAGUGUAGUACGUAUCCUAUCCACGCUGAAUUUCUUCAUUUCCUUUUAAUACAGAUACUCCAAAAAAUUAACAGUUAAUAGUGGCUAUUCCAUUACAAACUGUCAAGAGAGGCAAUUAUAGAGAAUUUCCCUGUAGCAUUCUCUCUCUUCCAAAGAACGAAAGGAGGUGGAGGGAGAGGUGCCAUAAGUUUAGAAGCAAAACACUGUUAUUAUUCUGAAGUGAGAAUGACAUCCUUGCAUUAACACAGUAUGAAAUCAUAGUAGCAAUUUUCAUGCCAUAUUAUUUUGUUUUUGUCAGGUCACUGAUUUUCAAUUUCAUCAAUACUACAUAAAACUAAGGAAGAUAAUAGAAUAAAGAGCGUCCAUUUGGACUCCA